UACAGAGACCUCAAGCGUUAUCCGGAAUCAUUGGGCGUAAAGCGUACCGAUAGGUGGUUUUACAAGUCAGAAGUGAAAUCUCAAGGCUCAACCUUGAGACUGUCUUUUGAAACUGUAAAACUAGAGGGGCAAAGAGGAAGCUGGAACGAACGGUGUAGUAGUGAAAUGCGUUGAUAUCGUUCGGAACACCAAUAGCGUAGGCAGGCUUCUGGGUGCCACCUGACACUGCUGGGACGAAAGCGUGGGGAGCGAAUGGG
rnacentral:rRNA from 1 species